AAAACAGAAAACCAAAAAAAAAGUGAAAUAAAAGCGCGGCAGAGGAUGUUUCCUGAAGUCCCUCCUGUUUCUGCAUACUUUCGUUCCCUUUGGCUUUUU
rnacentral:ribozyme from 1 species